UACGUAGGGACCGAGCGUUGUCCGGAAUCAUUGGGCGUAAAGAGCGUGUAGGCGGCCUGUUAAGUCUUGCGUGAAAUCUCGGGGCUCAACCCCGAGCGGUCGUGAGAAACUGGCAGGCUAGAGUGCGGGAGAGGAGAGUGGAAUUCCUGGUGUAGCGGUGAAAUGCGCAGAUAUCAGGAAGAACACCCGUGGCGAAGGCAGCUCUCUGGGACGGUACUGACACUGAGACGCGAAAGCGUGGGGAGCGAACAGG
rnacentral:rRNA from 1 species